rnacentral:lncRNA from 1 species
GUGGUAGGGUCUCACUCUCUCACCAAGGCUGGAGUGCAGUGGCACGAUCAGGGCUCACUGCAGCCUCGACCUCCUGGGAUCAAGUGAUUCUCCCGCCUCAGCCCCUCUAGUAGCUGGGACUACAGGCAUGUGCCACCACGCCUGGCUAAUUUUUUUUAUUUUUAGUAGAGAUGGGGUCUCACCGUGUUGCCCAGGCUAGUCUCCCUUCCAAAGUGCUGGGAUUAUAGACGUGAGCCACCGCACUUGGCCAAGAAGUAAUUUAUAACAGAACAAUUUAUAUUUUCAUAGAACAGUGUUUUAUGUGACUAAGAACUUGACAUAAAAUGAACAGUAGAAGCAUUAGUCAUGAUUGAAAUUAAAGCUCCUAUAAAAUUUCCACUGGUAUCAUUGGGUGGCCCUCAGGGUACCACAAGUAAAUACUCUCUUCAUCCCCUGUCCUCCUUAUCUUCUUUGGUUUUUAUUUUUAUGGAAGAAAUCACCAUAUUCUAGUCAUCUGGAUGUACUGCCUUGGGUUAAUUUUUGGCUUCUUGUGUUUUCUACACUCCACAAGAUGUUGAACACAGUAUCUUUCACUUGGUAGUAUGACAUCUUGAGUUUUGAGCUAUUUGCAUGUAUUACUUAUUAAAUCUGUGAAGUCAAAUAAACAAGAACAAUACUGCAUAAAAUAUGCCGAUUUUACAGGUUGUUCCAUACAAUAACUUGUAAAGUUGACAUGCUGUUUUAUGCAGUAUCAUUCUUGCUGGACCAUUUUGGUCCCUGGAAGGCACAGGUCAUUCUCCUGCCAUGAGGCAGGAUCACAUUGAGAAGUACCACAUUAUGACCUGAGCUUUAAAAAUUACUGUUUGUAAUUGUUAAGUAAUUAAUUUUGAGUCAGUAGCUUUUGUAAGUAUUGUGUAAUACUGCAUUUAAAAUAUGGUUUUAUUUUCAGUCAUAUGUCUUAUGACAUGUAUCCUAGCCCUUCUGGUAGUUUUAUAGUGGGGCAAAAUAGAGACUCCUUCACAAGUGUCAGUUCAUUCCUGUGGAGACCCAGCACUUGUGUGAACUAGGCAUUUUGGUUGUAAAUUAUUACAGUAUGGGAUUUUUUUUAACAGUUAAUUUUUUCCUCUUCUGGACUAGUCUUCAGUUAAAGCCUGCCAUCGUGUGGUGUUUUAAAGCAUGAGAUUUAAGCAUGUGGCAUGACUGCUGAGCUUUUAUGAUGAGUAAAAAGUGAAUACUAUUAAAUCUUUUCAUAUGUGAUCAACAUUUGGCCAGUUUAUUUCUUCACUUUAUUUUAAUAUUACAAUAUUAUUUUGAAAUUUUUAUUAAUUAAAGAUUC